AAGAGUCAGCGUCAAAUCCACCACUACCUGAGUCCUGGACUCGAGUGCUACUACACUGGUUACAACACACAUCAGCCAGAGACCCUGCGGCCUGUGACAGGCACAGUCAAGCCUUUAGUUUAGUUUGGCGUCAUGCCAAUUUGAAAGGACUGUUAAUCUCCCCACUCAGCUGGUUCAACCUGCCAUCACACUGACCCAGAACAGGAAUAUAAAUGUCCUUCUACCUCUGUAACCGGUCUUUAUUCCACUAACAAUGUGUCCCGGCUGCUCGCCCCUUUGAAGAAGCACGGGUUUGGCUGGUGGCCGGUCGUUCCACCACAGCUCUGCCCCUUGGUGUCCUGGGGGGCGUGUCGGUGUGCAGUGGAGUGGUGGCAUCAGGGGUGGAGUUGCGCUCCGUGGCGUUGGCUAUCCUCUCCAGGCUGCGGCUGAUGGAGAGCAGGAGGGGGUACGUGCGGCUCUCCAUCCUGCGGAGGCGCGUGUCCAGGCCACGGCGCAGAGCUCCCACCUCCCUCUGCAGCACCUCCAGACCCUCGCGCUGCACCUCCAGCAGCUCCUGCUCCCACCGCCUCCGCGACGGACACGGAGCACCCGUGGUGCUCGAGGCUGCUGGGGGACUGACUGAAACUCCGGCGGUCCCGCUGUUUGCUCCAGCUACAGGACUCUCAGAUGGUGUUGGUGUGCGUGUCGCUGAGGCGUUUGCAGCAGGCGCUGGCAGACUUGGUGGGGCCGCAGCGAGCACGGUUGAUGGCGGCUGCCACCUCUUCCCACGCCUGCCGCCGAUCCGAGAACCGCGGAGGGUGCUGUCUGUCACCGAAAAGCCUGUGGUAGCGGGCCUUGAUCUCGCGCAGGAGGAUGU
ensembl:lncRNA